rnacentral:rRNA from 1 species
ACUCAAAGGAAUUGACGGGGGCCCGCACAAGCAGCGGAGCGUGUGGUUUAAUUCGAGGCUACACGAAGAACCUUACCUGGGUUUGACAUGCACGUGGUAGGGAAGGGAAACCGGACCGACCUUCGGGAGCGUGCACAGGUGCUGCAUGGCUGUCGUCAGCUCGUGCCGUGAGGUGUUAGGUUAAGUCCUGUAACGAGCGCAACCCUCGGGGUCAGUUACACGGUGUCUGGCCCGACCGCCCGCGAUAAGCCGGGAGGAAGGUGGGGAUGACGUCAAGUCAGCAUGGCCUUGAUAUCCAGGGCGACACACACGCUACAAUGGCCGGUACAAUGGGUGGCGAAGCGGUAACGCGGAGCAAAUCCAACAAAGCCGGUCUCAGUUCGGAUUGCGGGCUGCAACUCGCCCGCAUGAAGUCGGAGUUGCUAGUAACCGCCGGUCAGCUAUACGGCGGUGAAUACGUUCCCGGGCCUUGCACACACCGCCCGU